UACAGAGGGGGCAAGCGUUAUUCGGAAUUAUUGGGCGUAAAGGGCGCGUAGGCGGCCUUGUAAGUCCCGUGUGAAAGCCCCCGGCUCAACUGGGGAAUUACACGGGAAACUGCGGGGCUUGAGUUCGGGAGAGGGAAGCGGAAUUCCGGGUGUAGCGGUGAAAUGCGUAGAUAUCCGGAGGAACACCAGUGGCGAAGGCGGCUUCCUGGACCGACACUGACGCUGAGGCGCGAAAGCUAGGGGAGCAAACGGG
rnacentral:rRNA from 1 species